UAUCCGUACCAUUCGUUUACAGGAUAUCAAUUAGUUCAGACAAGUCUUAACUAAAUCUAACAAUAAUAUGAAAUUGGCUAUUAUACUCUUUGCUCUUGCUGUAUUCAGCCAAAGCAAAGGCAAGCACCUGACGAAAUGCAAACAAGAAAUAGUAGGUGGCCUCGCGGAUAGCUGGGAUUGUUACGUCGAAACGGAAAGUUCCCAGCGCAUUGGCGACUCUGACCAACCGAGCAGCGAUGAUUUACGGGGCUACGGGCACAUAGAUAUGACAAACAAAUUUUUGUGCACUAUUACAAACGCCGCUAACGGAAAGAAUUGCAAUGUAUAUUAUUUGUUUAAGCGGUCAAACGAUCAUCAGACCGCCUAAUGUUAGGCUAUCUGACGCAUACGGACAUUCAUUACACCAGAGGAAUGCAAACAACUUAUAGAUGACGACAUUACGAAGGCUACAGCUUGUUAAGAUCUAUCAGAGUCGUGGCUUUAACGGCUGAUAUAGCUAAAAGAAUAAAUGUCAAGGAAAGCCAUCAAAAACUUAUUAAGCAAAAAGUAUUAAGUCAUCAUUUCUGAGUGUAUAAAAAUAAUUAAAAUCUUUUGUUUGUUUAAUAAAAUAGAUUUAAUUUAAGA